AAGACUAUAGACCUGCGGAGUACCUGCGGAAGGAUCAUUACAGGACUCGCAAGACUCCUACAACCCUGUGAACCUACUAUACGAACGUUGCUUCGGCGGGUGCGCCCCGGGGAUUCGUUCCCGCGGCGCGUCAGCCCGCCGGCAGCCUACAAAUUCUGUUUCUUUGCGUUGGCAUCUCGAGAAAAACAAAUAAGUUAAAACUUUCAACAACGGAUCUCU
rnacentral:misc_RNA from 1 species